rnacentral:tRNA from 1 species
GCCUUCGUAAUGCAGUGGUCAGAACGCUUGGCGCCUAUACGAGAGGUCCGUGGUUCGAUUCCCGGCGAGGGCA